ensembl:lncRNA
CUUGAGCCCUGCCCUCAACAGUGACCCUCGGGCAGAGACAAACAAGAACCAGCAGAGGCUCAACACUGGCAGUUGACUGUCCUGGACACUCAAGAGUGGACGGACACACUGAACAGAACCAGAACAGGACCCUGGAUCUUCAGCUGUAGCCAGUCUAUAAUCUGUCCUCAAUCCAAACACUACUUUACAGAAUGAAAAUCACAGGAGGACUACAUCACUAUUCCCCCUUCGAGGCGGAAACCUAUUGGACUGACCAUUCUCUGACAACGUCACCAGGUCGGACCUGACAGUGACCACUGUGUGUGUGUGUGUGUGUGUGUGUGUGUGUGUGUGUGUG